GGAAGUAAAAGCGUAACAAGGUUUCCGUAGGUGAACCUGCGGAAGGAUCAUUCAUAAUAAGUGUUUUAUGGCACUUUUUUAAAUCCAUAUCCACCUUGUGUGCAAUGUCAGGGUUGGUCUCUUUUGAUCAGCCCCAAACAUCAACUAUUAUCUCAACUCUUUGUCUGAAAAAUAUUAUGAAUAAAACAAUUCAAAAUACAACUUUCAACAACGGAUCUCUUGGCUCUC
rnacentral:misc_RNA from 1 species